rnacentral:rRNA from 1 species
AUGAACGCUGGCGGCGUGCUUAACACAUGCCAGUCGCACGGAAAGGCUCCUGCUUGCAGGGGUACUCGAGUGGCGAACGGGUGAGUAACACGUGGGUGAUCUGCCCUGCACUUCGGGAUAAGCCUGGGAAACUGGGUCUAAUACCGGAUAGGACCACAUUUUGGAUGGUGUGGUGGAAAGUUUUUCGGUGUGGGAUGAGCUCGCGGCCUAUCAGCUUGUUGGUGGGGUAAUGGCCUACCAAGGCGUCGACGGGUAGCCGGCCUGAGAGGGUGUACGGCCACAUUGGGACUGAGAUACGGCCCAGACUCCUACGGGAGGCAGCAGUGGGGAAUAUUGCACAAUGGGCGCAAGCCUGAUGCAGCGACGCCGCGUGGGGGAUGACGGCCUUCGGGUUGUAAACUCCUUUCGCUAGGGACGAAGCGCAAGUGACGGUACCUGGAGAAGAAGCACCGGCUAACUACGUG